UGUAGACAAUUUUAAUGUUUAUUUUCUCAAUUUCUCCAUAUUCUCUGGAUUGCAAUAUUGGGUGGCUCAAGCAUCACAACUCUUUUUACAGAGAAUUUGGGCGGCCCUGAGAAGGGCCUUUGGUUAAGAAAAUAGAAAUAAAAAGCCUUAACCGCCGAAGCCGUAGAGGGUGCGGCCCUGGCGUUUAAGCGCGUAGACCACGUCCAUAGCAGUGACGGUCUUGCGCUUGGCGUGCUCCGUGUAGGUGACGGCGUCGCGGAUUACGUUCUCCAGGAACACCUUCAGCACACCGCGGGUCUCCUCGUAGAUGAGGCCGGAGAUGCGCUUCACUCCUCCGCGCCGGGCCAGGCGGCGGAUGGCGGGCUUAGUGAUCCCCUGGAUGUUGUCGCGCAGGACUUUGCGGUGGCGCUUAGCGCCGCCUUUGCCCAGGCCUUUCCCUCCUUUGCCGCGACCGGACAUAUCUUAAAGGGCAGAGGAAAUAAGUUCUGAGCUUAGAGUCGCUCCUUUAUAUAGCUGCUUUGCCUUGAUCUCCCACCCCCAACAGAAUCGC
rnacentral:lncRNA from 1 species